rnacentral:rRNA from 1 species
UACGGGGGAGCAAGCGUUGUUCGGAUUUACUGGGCGCAAAGGGCGCGUAGGCGGCCACCGCAAGUCGACUGUGAAAUCUCCGGGCUUAACCCGGAAAGGUCAGCCGAUACUGCGGGGCUAGAGUGCAGAAGGGGCAACUGGAAUUCUCGGUGUAGCGGUGAAAUGCGUAGAUAUCGAGAGGAACACCUGCGGCGAAGGCGGGUCUCUGGGCCGAUACUGACGCUGAGGAGCGAAAGCGUGGGGAGCGAACAGG